rnacentral:rRNA from 1 species
AGUUAACGCUGGCGGCGUGCCUAAUACAUGCAAGUCGAACGGAGUGGCGCACGGGUGAGUAAUAUAUAGCUAAUCUGCCCCUUGCUGGAGGACAACAGUUCGAAAUGACUGCUAAUACUCCAUAGCAAUGGGUGAGACUAUAUCGUAUCCGCUAGUCGGUGGGGUAACGGCCUACCGAGGCUAUGACGCGAAACUGGUCUGAGGGGAUGAUCAGACAUAUUGGAACGGAGACACGGUCCAAACACCUACGGGAGGCAGCAGUAGGGAAUAAUGCGCAAUGGGGGAAACCCUGACGCAGCAACGCCGGGUGGAGGAUGGCACUUUUCGGAGCGUAAACUCAUUUUGUUAGGGAAGCGGUACCUAACGAAUAAGAACCGGCUAACGCCGUGCCAGCAGCCGCGGUAAUAA